rnacentral:lncRNA from 1 species
AGGCGCGAGCUUCCUGCGCCUGCUCAGCAGCCUGAGGCCGCGGCCGGGUGCCCUCCUGCCCUCCUGGCCAUCCAGGGAUUGGGUGUCAGUGGCCUGUUGCACAUUGUCACUUCUACAAGUGACUAACACCGUCAGGAUAAUCUAAAACUACGAAUACUACCUGACUCCACAAGGGUACGGUGUAUUCUCCAGUUUUAGCAUCUGCCUUAAAAAUUACCUCAGAGUUAAGCACUGCUGGGGACUUAUUUCUACUCUUGGCAGGAGGAGAAAAGGAAAUGACAUCAGAGGUGCUUUGCUAAAGAUCACAGGAACUGCAGCUGUGGCCUUCCUAUUUCGCAGUUUUCCCCUUAAAUCUUUACACAGAUUCCCAUCAGAGUACAGUAAAACAAAAAUUAAAUAGAAUUCAUAUAUUUGAAAUCCUUGGCAUCAAUUCACUCCAGGAAUCCAAGACAGUACUCAACUGAAGGGGAAGCAAGCACAAGGGAGAUUUCUGGGACACUGAUACUGUUCCGUUUCUUCAUCUGAAUGCUGCUUAUGGGCCUUGUUCAAUUUGUGAAAAUUCAUGACUUUGUACAUUUAUGGGUUUCACUUUGUAGCUCAGGCUGGUCUUGAACUGCUGGGCUCAAACUAUCGUCCUGCCUCAGUCUCCUGAGUGGAUGGGAUUAUAAGCACACACCACCGUCCCUGGCAUAAAAUAGUUUUUUAAUUCACAAGAUUUAAUAGGUAGAUUAAAAGAAGAGGUAAGACAAAAUUAAAAGAGGUAAGACAAGAGAAGGAAAAGUCAGACUGACAGAUUAUAAGUUCCUAUGGUACACAGUCCCCUUAGAUUGGAAGAAAGGAGCUAAGAGGGUAAGGAAGCUUGGUUGCCAGUUUUUUAUAACUGGCAGCCUGGUGAUAUUGGGUGUGGUAGCUGAGAUGUCCCAAUUGUAGUCACAAGGCCUAAAAAAGCAGAUCUUUACAAAUGUUUAAAAAUACUAGCUCAAUGUAAAUAAGCAUGAAUGUUCUUGACCUCCUUACUGUGCCCUGAAUGUGCCAACCACACUCUCAUUCCACCAUCUUUGCUCCUGCAAUGCUGUUUGCCUGCAGGCCUUCCUGCCAGGAGCUUGCUCCUUCUCUCUGUCCACUCUGGAUAUAACAGCCCUUGCCCUUCUCCACUUUACGCUCUCUUCCCUUUCUCUUCUUGUACCUUUAUUUUCCUGCAUAGCACCCAUGAUUAUCUGAUCUAUUUUUUUCCCUUUUUUUUUCAUUCUGGUGCCCAGGCUGGAGUGCAGUGGCACAAUAUUGGCUUACUGCAGCCUCAGCUUCCCUGGCUCAAGCCAUCUGCCCACCUUAGCCUCCCGAGUAGCUGGGACUGCAGGUGCACGCCACCAUACCCGGGAAAUUUUUGUACUUUUUUUGUAGAGACAGGGUCUUGCUAUGUUGCCCAAGCUGGUCUUGAACUCCUGAGCUCAAGCAAUCCACACACCUUGACCUCCCAAAGUGCUGGGAUUACAGGCAUGAGCCACUGCACCCAGCCUGAUCUAUUAUUUAUUUACCAGUACCUUCCCUACUGGAAUGAAAGCUCCAUGAGAACAGAGUCUGUUUUGUUCACUGCUAUACCCCUUGUGCCAAGAACACUGUCUGACAUAUAACAGUAACUGGAAUAUUUAAUGAAUGAAUGAAUGAAUCUAGGUAUAUGAUGGUGGGAUGAGGAAAUAAAGAGAUAGAAAAUGUCAGUACUGUAUAGGUUUCAGGGACAAUGAAUUAUCAAUACAAUGAUAUAUUGCCUGAAUUUCAGCAUAUCUUAGUAACUGCCUUAAAGUUACAGAAGGACUGAGAUAAUCUGUUAGAAUGUGAACAAUAAGAGCACCUACCUCACAGUAUCCACAUAAAUUGUUUAGUGCAGUGCCUGGCACAGAGUAAAUGCUCAACAGUUGUUAGUUAUGAUUAAGUCUGAAUAGUAACUCACACACUAAAGUAAAAUUGAGGAUUUGAAACAGAAAUCAGGAUUUCCGUUCCUCCUUUGUUAAAACUAGGCACAGUAUUCAACAGUCUAAUCAAUUUCUAAAAGUACCAUUUAAAACUGAGGUAUUUAGUAAAUGGUUUAUAGACUACUUAGCUCUGUAACUGAAAUAAAUUAUUCUCCAAACACGGCUUUCCUCAAUGAGCUUAAUGAAUGUUUUCUGUUUACCAUUAUUGAUGCUUUUACAAAUAUCUCCUAUGCCUCCAGAAUGAUCUCGGUGCCAGUGAGUCACUACAAUUUCCUGGAUUGCUGUGUUAAAUUCAGUUAGAGCCUGCUUUAAACAGCUGAUGUAUUCUGGAAUUGCUGGUUCUCCAGUGUCAAUGAGGAUUCUCCUGAAAAUUAAAUGGAAGAUAAUCACACAAUUGGAACACUGCGUUGACAUUAGCAUUAUUUUGCACACAGAUAAUUUACAUUAAAGAAACUGCAAAAAUUAUUUUACUUUUAACAUGCACAAAAACCAGCUACAUCACUUCAGCUUAACUACAGUAAUCUCACCCUAAGAAAGUUUUCUGAGAAAAAUUAGAGCUAAAUAUAAGUCUGAACAAGGAAUAAUAGCAGUCAUCUUGAACAUUUACAUAGCAAUUAAAAUAAACAUGGCACCAUUCCAAGGACUUUACAUAUUUUACCAAUUACAUUCCUCGUAACAACUGUUUAAAGUAGAUAUUUUAUCAUUAUAUUUAGAAGUAACUUGCCCAGGUUACUCUACAGAUAAAUGGCAGAAACAGCUUUCAAACCCAGGUAUUCUGAUGCCAGAAUAUGUGCUUUUAUCUAUCUGCCUUUGAGAUCUCAUAUCUCAGUAUAUUUCAAAAGUUUUAUAGAUAUGAAAGAUUUUGAUUCAAUGGCACCCCUAAAGAAACUAGUCUUUGGCACUAGAUAUACAACUUAUCACUGAAGUUUUAUAUUAGCACCCUGACACAUGAAAAUGAAGGCUUUAGUGAAGCAUGGGAAAAACAUCUGAGCUAUUUUCUUUCUUUACUUAGACAACCCCAUUAGCUGUAUUUUUUGCUUGUGGUUCUGAAUCUUCCUUAUAUUUUGUUUGCCCUUCCUCACGAUUUUAUGAGGUGGCCUUUCUCUGUGAAGUUUUGCUGAACUAAAGACAUGGGGGUGACAUGUUCCUCAAGAUCCAAUUCUUUUUUUUUUGAGACAGGGUCUUGCUCUGUCACCCAGGCUGGAGUGCAGUGUUGCGAUCUCAGCUCAUUGCAGCCUUGACCUCCUGGGCACAAGCGAUUCUCCCACAUCUACUUCCUGAGUAGCUGGGACUACAGGUAUGUGCCACCAUGCCCGGCUCAUUUUUGUAUUUUUUGUAGAGAUGGUGUUUCGUCAUAUUGCCCAGGCUGGUCUCUUAACUCCUGGGGUCAAGCAAUCCUCCCACCUCAGCCUCCCAAAGUGCUGGGAUUACAGGCGUUGAGCCACCAUGCCCAGCUCAAGAUCCAAUUCACAAACUUCUUCACUCAUACUGUUUCACAGUAACACCUCAAUAAUUCAGGCUGGCUGACAGAUUAGCCUUGAUGAAAAGUCUGAGUUAUUCAUUAAUUGAUCAAUAACUGUUUAUGGAUUACCUAAUAUGUGCUACAAAUUUGUUUCUUGCAGUAAGCAGGACACAACAACCCUGCUUACAUUCAACUGUUGGUGAGAAGGGGAACUGCAUAUGACUGGAAAUAAACAAUAAAAGUAACAUACCAUAGAAAGCAUUUUGCAAAGCAUUAAAAUUAAAAAAAAAAAAAA